UGGGGGAUAUUGCACAAUGGGCGAAAGCCUGAUGCAGCGACGCCGCGUGGGGGAUGAAGGCCUUCGGGUUGUAAACUUCUUUUGCUCUGAACAAGGCAUGCUAAUGGGUGUGUUGAGUGUAGGGGUUGAUUAGCGCCGGCUAACUACGUGCCAGCAGCCGCGGUAAUACGUAGGGGGCGAGCGUUGUCCGGAAUUAUUGGGCGUAAAGGGCUUGUAGGUGGCUGGUUGCGUCUGUCGUGAAAGCUCAUGGCUUAACUGUGGGUUUGCGGUGGGUACGGGCUGGCUUGAGUGCAGUAGGGGAGGCUGGAAUUCCUUGUGUAGCGGUGGAAUGCGCAUAUAUCAGGAGGAAUACCGGUGGCGAAGGCGGGUCUCUGGGCUGUUACUGACACUGAGGAGCGAAAGCAUGGGGAGCGAACAGG
rnacentral:rRNA from 1 species